rnacentral:rRNA from 1 species
GACGAACGCUGGCGGCGUGCUUAACACAUGCAAGUCGAACGGAAAGGCCUUUUCGGAGGUACUUGAGUGGCGAACGGGUGAGUAACACGUGGGUGAUCUGCCCUGCACUCUGGGAUAAGCCUGGGAAACUGGGUCUAAUACCGGAUAGGACCGCACUUUAGUGUGUGUGGUGGAAAGUUUUUUCGGUGUAGGAUGAGCCCGCGGCCUAUCAGCUUGUUGGUGGGGUAAUGGCCUACCAAGGCGGCGACGGGUAGCCGGACUGAGAGGUUGGUCGGCCACAUUGGGACUGAGAUACGGCCCAGACUCCUACGGGAGGCAGCAGUGGGGAAUAUUGCACAAUGGGCGCAAGCCUGAUGCAGCGACGCCGCGUGGGGGAUGACGGCCUUCGGGUUGUAAACUCCUUUCGCCAGGGACGAAGCGUUUUGUGACGGUACCUGGAGAAGAAGCACCGGCUAACUACGU